rfam:Schistosoma mansoni strain Puerto Rico chromosome 5, complete genome
AGCUUCAUAAAUUCGUGCUAAAAUUUCGUCAAACAUCAACUUAACAGGGCUGAUGAGACUUUAAAGAUAAAUGAAGUU